CCUACGGGAGGCAGCAGUAGGGAAUCUUCCACAAUGGGCGAAAGCCUGAUGGAGCAAUACCGCGUGAGUGAAGAAGGUCUUCGGAUCGUAAAGCUCUGUUAUCGGAGAAGAACACGGAGUGCAGUAACUGGCAUUCCGCUGACGGUAUCCGACCAGAAAGUCACGGCUAACUACGUGCCAGCAGCCGCGGUAAU
rnacentral:rRNA from 1 species